rnacentral:rRNA from 1 species
GACGAACGCUGGCGGCGUGCUUAACACAUGCAAGUCGAACGGUGAAAGCGGAGCUUGCUCCGCUGGAUCAGUGGCGAACGGGUGAGUAACGCGUGGGAAACCUGCCCCUCACUUCGGGAUAACUCCGGGAAACCGGGGCGAAUACCGGAUAACAUUUUGAACCGCAUGGUUCGAAAUUGAAAGGCGGCUGCGGCUGUCACUCAUGGAUGGACGCGCGUCGAAUUAGCUAGGUGGUGAAGUAACGGCUCACCAAGGCAACGAUGCGUAGCCGACCUGAGAGGGUGAUCGGCCACACUGGGACUGAGACACGGCCCAGACUCCUACGGGAGGCAGCAGUAGGGAAUCUUCCGCAAUGGACGAAAGUCUGACGGAGCAACGCCGCGUGAGUGAUGAAGGCUUUCGGGUCGUAAAACUCUGUUGUUAGGGAAGAACAAGUGCUAGUUGAAUAAGCUGGCACCUUGACGGUACCUAACCAGAAAGCCACGGCUAACUACGUGCCAGCAGCCGCGGUAA